ensembl:lncRNA
AUGGCCUUGCUCUGGGGCUGUUGCAGCUGCACUGCUGAUGACUGGCUCCCAACAGCAAGGAAUGGAUUUGGUUUCUAUUUUAAGCUUCUGUGUCAUCCCAGCUUUGAUGGAUGUGGAGUUAACACAGACCCUACAGGCUGUGGGAUAGCCCAGGGUGAAAGAAAGGGAGAAGAAACAAUCGGUGCAGUCUCACACAGAAAAGACUGGUACAUCUGCCCCCAUUCUGCAGCUGAGGAGAGGGAGGCUGAUGUGACUGACCUGGAGCCAUGCUGCAGCAGAAUGCAACGCCAAGAAGUGAAGCUGGUUCCUGUAGCAGCCCACUCCUCUAGGUUUGUCCUCUGCUCUUCUCCAACACUUCUCCACAUCUCCUCCUCUUGCGUCUCCCCCUGCAGGGAGGCAGGCUGGGAUCAGAAGCAUCAAUAGCCUUGGGGAGCAGAUAAGGUUCUCCAUCAUAAAAAAGGCAGCAGUGCAGAAUUACAAUGACCAAAAAUACGUUUCAGUAAAAUAUGAGGCUUUCAACUCAUGCCUAGAGCUGAACCCUGAGGGUGGCCAUAGCUAAAUAAAAGAGGGACAAGAAACAAGUUCAAAUGCUGUGUCUGCUGUCAUCUGCACACUUGCCCUCCACCUGUGGCCUGGACUUCCCCAGUGGUCCAGCUGAAGGCAGAUCCAUUUCUUUCCAAGAUUUAGUGAUGGUUGAUCUAGGGAUCACUUCUCAAAAUGAACCAGGGAUGAGACGGGAGCAGGUUUUGCUCCCUCUGCUGUACAUACUUCUCCAGUGCCAUCCCAGCCCGUUUUUGAGCCCUCAAUCACCUCCACCAGCCCUGCGUGGCACUCCCUGACACAUUUAAAAUGUAUCCUCAGCUUCAUGUUGCAAACAGAAUGCUAAUGGGGCGAGAGACAGCUCUUCUGUAGUUUCAGGCAUUUUUCAGGGGAAGAAGAAAAAUCAUGCAAAACACUGAAGAUACCUUGCAAACAAAGAUGGCCCACAGGAGCCUGGGGAUCACAUCCUCCGCAGCGCAGCCGUGGCCAUCCUGCUCCAUCGGCUGGUCAGCAUGGGUUGUUCCCUGACCUGCUUUUGUCUGCCAGCGUAGGCACCCGCAGCACCCCGAGACAAGGGCCACGCUGGCUGGAGUGCUUGACUCGCACUGAAAUGCCCAAGUAAAAGUUACCUCUUGCCUCGCCCUGGAGCCAUCAGUGGGAGUAGCCGGGUGUUGAGCCCUGCUGCGACCAGGUGCUGCGGUGGCAGAGGUCUGGGUGGCACCAGCAGCAGCGAGAGGCAGCCUUUCGGGGCAUCAGCAGUAACAGCAGGUACAAAGGGAGUUACGUCUUCACCGGUCCAGUCCCAGACUGCUCAUCUGUAAGGAGCUCCAGGCAGGAAGAUCCAGACGGCUGUUAAUGCAGGAUCACAGCCCGAGGUUUUGUUUCCACCUUUGCCAGAGGCUUUGCAUGAGUCUCAGCUUCCUUUGCCUGCGUAAUGGGUACCUGGUGACUGACCUUCCUUUGUAAAGCUCCUGUCAGGCAAAGGGGGAUCCUCUGGCUUCACCUACAGCUCUCCUCUAUGCACCAACAAAAAUGAUGCUCGUCGGGUUGGUGCUCCUACAGCAAGAGCUCAAUCGGAGAG